rnacentral:rRNA from 1 species
AGAGUUUGAUCAUGGCUCAGAACGAACGCUGGCGGCAGGCUUAACACAUGCAAGUCGAACGCUCGUAGCAAUACGGGAGUGGCAGACGGGUGAGUAACGCGUGGGAACAUACCCUCCGGUUCGGAAUAGCUCAGGGAAACUUGGAUUAAUACCGGAUACGGCUGAGAGGCGAAAGAUUUAUCGCCGGAGGAUUGGCCCGCGUUCGAUUAGCUUGUUGGUGAGGUAACGGCUCACCAAGGCGAUGAUCGAUAGCUGGUCUGAGAGGAUGAUCAGCCACAUUGGGACUGAGACACGGCCCAAACUCCUACGGGAGGCAGCAGUGGGGAAUAUUGGACAAUGGGCGCAAGCCUGAUCCAGCCAUGCCGCGUGAGUGAUGACGGCCUUAGGGUUGUAGAGCUCUUUCGCUCGGGACGAUAAUGACGGUACCGAGAUAAGAAGCCCCGGCUAACUUCGUGCCAGCAGCCGCGGUAAUACGAAGGGGGCUAGCGUUGUUCGGAAUUACUGGGCGUAAAGCGCGUGUAGGCGGGUCUUUAAGUCAGGGGUGAAAUGCCAAGGCUCAACCUUGGAACUGCCUUUGAUACUGGAGACCUUGAGUCCGGGAGAGGUGAGUGGAAUUGCGAGUGUAGAGGUGAAAUUCGUAGAUAUUCGCAAGAACACCAGUGGCGAAGGCGGCUCACUGGCCCGGAACUGACGCUGAGACGCGAAAGCGUGGGGAGCAAACAGGAUUAGAUACCCUAGUAGUCC